AUUGAACGCUGGCGGAAUGCUUUACACAUGCAAGUCGAACGGCAGCACGGACUUCGGUCUGGUGGCGAGUGGCGAACGGGUGAGUAAUGUAUCGGAACGUGCCCAGUCGUGGGGGAAAACGUAGCGAAAGUUACGCUAAUACCGCAUACGAUCUAAGGAUGAAAGCGGGGGAUCGCAAGACCUCGCGCGAUUGGAGCGGCCGAUAUCAGAUUAGGUAGUUGGUGGGGUAAAGGCUCACCAAGCCAACGAUCUGUAGCUGGUCUGAGAGGACGACCAGCCACACUGGAACUGAGACACGGUCCAGACUCCUACGGGAGGCAGCAGUGGGGAAUUUUGGACAAUGGACGCAAGUCUGAUCCAGCCAUUCCGCGUGCAGGAUGAAGGCCCUCGGGUUGUAAACUGCUUUUGUACGGAACGAAAAGGUCUCUCUUAAUACGGGGGACUCAUGACGGUACCGUAAGAAUAAGCACCGGCUAACUACGUGCCAGCAGCCGCCGCGG
rnacentral:rRNA from 1 species